CCUACGGGAGGCUGCAGUGAGGAAUAUUGGUCAAUGGGCGAGAGCCUGAACCAGCCAAGUCGCGUGAAGGAUGACGGCCCUACGGGUUGUAAACUUCUUUUGUCAGGGAGCAAUUGGGUCCACGCGUGGGCUUAGCGAGAGUACCUGAAGAAAAAGCAUCGGCUAACUCCGUGCCAGCAGCCGCGGUAAUACGGAGGAUGCGGGCGUUCUCCGGAUUUAUUGGGUUUAAAUGGUGCGUAGGCGGAAUAUCAAGUCAGCGGUAAAACUUCGGGGCUCAACCCCGUCGUGCCGUUGAAACUGAUGUUCUUGAGGGGGCGAGAAGUAUGCGGAAUGCGUGGUGUAGCAGUGAAAUGCAUAGAUAUCACGCAGAACUCCAAUUGCGAAGGCAACAUACCGGCGCCCAACUGACGCUGAAGCACGAAAGCGUGGGUAGCGAACAGGAUUAGAUACCCCUGUAGUC
rnacentral:rRNA from 1 species